rnacentral:rRNA from 1 species
UGGGGAAUUUUGGACAAUGGGCGAAAGCCUGAUCCAGCAAUGCCGCGUGUGUGAAGAAGGCCUUCGGGUUGUAAAGCACUUUUGUCCGGAAAGAAAUGGUUCUGGUUAAUACCUGGGGUCGAUGACGGUACCGGAAGAAUAAGGACCGGCUAACUACGUGCCAGCAGCCGCGGUAAUACGUAGGGUCCAAGCGUUAAUCGGAAUUACUGGGCGUAAAGCGUGCGCAGGCGGUUGUGCAAGACCGAUGUGAAAUCCCCGAGCUUAACUUGGGAAUUGCAUUGGUGACUGCACGGCUAGAGUGUGUCAGAGGGGGGUAGAAUUCCACGUGUAGCAGUGAAAUGCGUAGAGAUGUGGAGGAAUACCGAUGGCGAAGGCAGCCCCCUGGGAUAACACUGACGCUCAUGCACGAAAGCGUGGGGAGCAAACAGG